UACGAAGGUCCCAAGCGUUAUCCGGAUUUAUUGGGUUUAAAGGGUGCGUAGGCGGGUUAUUAAGUCAGUGGUGAAAGCUCCAUGCCUAACAUGGAAAUUGCCAUUGAUACUGAUGAUCUUGAGUACAUUUGAAGUGGGCGGAAUGUGUCAUGUAGUGGUGAAAUACUUAGAUAUGACAUAGAACACCAAUUGCGAAGGCAGCUUACUACACGAUCAUUGACACUGAGGCACGAAAGCGUGGGGAGCAAACAGG
rnacentral:rRNA from 1 species